rnacentral:rRNA from 1 species
GUCUUUUUGAAUUAAAUUUAAAGUCUAACCUGCCCACUGAAAAUUUUAAAUGGCCGCAGUAUUCUAACUGUGCAAAGGUAGCAUAAUCAUUAGUCUUUUAAUUGAAGGCUGGAAUGAAUGGUUGGACGAAAUAUUAACUGUUUCAUUUAAAUUUUUUAUAGAAUUUUAUUUUUUAGUCAAAAAGCUAAAAUAAUUUUAAAAGACGAGAAGACCCUAUAAAUCUUUAUAUUUUGUUUAUUUUAAUUAUAAAGAUUAUUUUUAUUAUAAUAAAUUAAAAUAUUUUAUUGGGGUGAUAUUAAAAUUUAAAAAACUUUUAAUUUUUAAAACCAUUAAUUUAUGAAUAAUUGAUCCAUUAAUAAUGAUUAAAAAUUUAAGUUACUUUAGGGAUAACAGCGUAAUUUUUUUGGAGAGUUCAUAUCGAUAAAAAAGAUUGCGACCUCGAUGUUGGAUUAAGAUAUAAUUUUGGGUGUAGCCGUUCAAAUUUUAAGUCUGUUCGACUUUUAAAUUCUU